GGGGGCGACCUGGUUUCGACGUGGAUUACAAAGCCAUCGGAGCAUGUCGAGGUGCAGAUCUCCUCGUAAAUCCAACUGCAAACUAUUAGUUGCCAACGA
rnacentral:tmRNA from 1 species